rnacentral:rRNA from 1 species
UGGGGAAUUUUGGACAAUGGGGGAAACCCUGAUCCAGCCAUCCCGCGUGCGCGAUGAAGGCCUUCGGGUUGUAAAGCACUUUUGGCAGGAAAGAAACGUCAUGGGUUAAUACCCCGUGAAACUGACGGUACCUGCAGAAUAAGCACCGGCUAACUACGUGCCAGCAGCCGCGGUAAUACGUAGGGUGCAAGCGUUAAUCGGAAUUACUGGGCGUAAAGCGUGCGCAGGCGGUUCGGAAAGAAAGACGUGAAAUCCCAGAGCUCAACUUUGGAACUGCAUUUUUAACUACCGGGCUAGAGUGUGUCAGAGGGAGGUGGAAUUCCGCGUGUAGCAGUGAAAUGCGUAGAUAUGCGGAGGAACACCGAUGGCGAAGGCAGCCUCCUGGGAUAACACUGACGCUCAUGCACGAAAGCGUGGGGAGCAAACAGG